rnacentral:lncRNA from 1 species
CCUCCCUUGUGCAUGAUUUGAGUGGAUAAAGAUUGAUUAGUUGGCCAUUUAAAUUCAAAUGAUGUUUGAAUUUGAAUGAGCAACUAAUCCCAUGUGCCACCUUAUCCACUUGUGCGCCACUUGCUCUACAUGAGAAAAAGUUUCUCAUGUAAACUCUCCACGCACAAAGAACCCAUGCCCCCUUAUUCUCACACCAAGAGUGGAUAAAG